AGCAAGAAGGGUGGAUUGUGGCGUGUAGAAAAGAAAUAAUAAGAAAGGUGAAUUGUUGCUAGCCAAUGAAAUAAGAAGGCGAGGAUUGCUAAAUAUUUUAAUCUGAACCGUUGAUAGAAGUUGAUCUAACGAUCCAGAUCUCAUUCGUAUCUCUUUGUUCCUUUUUCCCCUCUUUCUCCAGAUCUAACGAUCCAGAUCUUGUGACAAAAAAAAAACAAUCCAGAUCUAACUCAUCUCCUCUUUCUUCUCCGCUGGUGUAAGGCUGGUCUCUUCUCCGGUUCAGUCUCUUCUCUGCUCCUCCGCAGUCUAGACUCCUCUCUGUUGCUCUGCAGUCGUGGCUCCUUUCUGUUCCUCUACAUUCGGCAUAGAAGAUCUUUCCCUUGGCGGCAAACGAUAACCGCGGUUCCAUAGAAAACAAUGUUGAAUCGUUUCUUGAAGACAGAGAGAUGACGUUGACGUGGUUGUCAUGAGAAGAGGUGGUGGUCGUGAAUCCGACGGGUGGUGGUCGUGACAGAGCUUGUGGUCAUGACCAUAGAAGACGUUCGUGAGCAAAUGUGGUGGUCAUGACAUUUGCCGAGGUGUUCGAUUAAGUGAGAGUCCUGUUGUUGUUCUCUGUUAGUGUUUAAAGUUUAUGUGGUUUUGAAGUUUUUUUUUGGUGCUAGUGAAUGCUUUGUCGUGUUUCUAACGAAUCUGAGAUCGAGGAGUCGAGAAUUAUAAAGGAAUUGCAUCUCAGGUCAGUGAAAGAGCUCAAGAUCGACUCCUGAAACGUAUAACAUGAUGGAGCAGCUGGCACUUUAGUGGUGGUGGUGGUGGUGGAGCCGAGCAAGAAGAAGAAGAAGAAGAAGAAGAAGAAUAGAAAGGCGGAGUAGAAGAUGACGACGGCGUAGAUUAGUUUUAGGUUCAAUUAGGUUUUAGUUUAAUCUGUUCUAAUUAGUUUUUGGUUUAAUGUGUUUUGGUUUAUUUAAUCUUUUAAUUCUGGUUUAGUUUUACAUUUAUUUGUAAUCUAAUUUUAAUUAAUAAAUAAAAUUUAUCUUUUGGUUA